rnacentral:lncRNA from 1 species
AUUGGCUUGUGAAUAUAAUAAAAGGAUUUGUGGAUUUUCGUAAAAUGCAAAGGUUUUCUACUUCUCGUGGUAGCGAGUUUUAAAAAGAAAAAGGUUUUCGUGUGGGAAACAGUUUUAAAAGGUUUUCUCGUGGUUUUUGUAACUUUGUAUUUCAAAACAAGUUUCCAAGUAGGAAACAUUUUCAACUAAUAGUUGUGAUAUUAUGCUUAAACGCUGAAUGGUAAAUCUGUGGUGAAUGGUAAAUGAAGUUUGUAUGUUGUAUAUUCAUUAUGGUGAUUGUAUUUUGUCUAGAUAUCUUGUAUUUGUGCGACGCCAUGCAAAUACAGGGGAAACUCUGUCCGUGUGAACAGUGGAUUUCCUAUAUUUGUGGGGGAUCUGGCAUACCCUGGGGAGUCAGAUUUUCAAAAAAAA